rnacentral:sRNA from 12 species
UCAGUGGACGUCGAGUUAGAGCUUAACGACGUAACAAACCACCGCCGGACAUGUCGAAGAGG